rnacentral:tRNA from 1 species
UUCCCUGGCUGUCUAGUGGUUAGAACUCAGCACUUUCACUGCUGUGGCCUGGGUUCAAUUCCUGGUUGGGAAA